rnacentral:pre_miRNA from 1 species
AGUGCAAUUGCUGAGUUGUAUGGUAGUUAUGUUAGUUGCACAUUUAGUUUUUUUUUAGUGAAACUGUCAAAAAUUUUCCAGAGUAGUUAUACUAUUUUAUAUUCUCAUCAGCAGU